rnacentral:rRNA from 1 species
AUUGAACGCUGGCGGCAUGCCUUACACAUGCAAGUCGAACGGUAACGCGGGGCAACCUGGCGACGAGUGGCGAACGGGUGAGUAACGCAUCGGAACGUGCCCGAUAGUGGGGGACAGCCCGGCGAAAGCCGGAUUAAUACCUCAUACGACCUAUGGGUGAAAGCGGGGGAUCGAAAGACCUACCGCUAUUGGAGCGGCCGAUGUCAGAUUAGGUAGUUGGUGGGGUAAAGGCCCACCAAGCCGACGAUCUGUAGCUGGUCUGAGAGGACGACCAGCCACACUGGGACUGAGACACGGCCCAGACUCCUACGGGAGGCAGCAGUGGGGAAUUUUGGACAACGGGCGCAAGCCUGAUCCAGCCAUGCCGCGUGCGGGAAGAAGGCCUUCGGGUUGUAAACCGCUUUUGUCAGGGAAGAAAAGGCUCGAACUAAUCCUUUGGGCUCAUGACGGUACCUGAAGAAUAAGCACCGGCUAACUACGCGCCAGCAGCCGCCGUAACAC